rnacentral:rRNA from 1 species
AUUGAACGCUGGCGGCAGGCCUAACACAUGCAAGUCGAACGGUAACAGGAAGCAGCUUGCUGCUUUGCUGACGAGUGGCGGACGGGUGAGUAAUGUCUGGGAAACUGCCUGAUGGAGGGGGAUAACUACUGGAAACGGUAGCUAAUACCGCAUAACGUCGCAAGACCAAAGAGGGGGACCUUCGGGCCUCUUGCCAUCGGAUGUGCCCAGAUGGGAUUAGCUAGUAGGUAGGGUAACGGCUCACCUAGGCGACGAUCCCUAGCUGGUCUGAGAGGAUGACCAGCCACACUGGAACUGAGACACGGUCCAGACUCCUACGGGAGGCAGCAGUGGGGAAUAUUGCACAAUGGGCGCAAGCCUGAUGCAGCCAUGCCGCGUGUAUGAAGAAGGCCUUCGGGUUGUAAAGUACUUUCAGCGGGGAGGAAGGGAGUAAAGUUAAUACCUUUGCUCAUUGACGUUACCCGCAGAAGAAGCACCGGCUAACUCCGUG